ACUCAAAUGAAUUGACGGGGGCCCGCACAAGCGGUGGAGCAUGUGGUUUAAUUCGACGCAACGCGAAGAACCUUACCUGGGUUAAAUCCGCCCAAACCUGGCAGAGAUGUCGGGGUGCCCUUCGGGGAAUGGGCGAGAAGGUGCUGCAUGGCUGUCGUCAGCUCGUGUCGUGAGAUGUUGGGUUAAGUCCCGCAACGAGCGCAACCCUUGUCGUUAGUUGCUAACAGGUCAAGCUGAGCACUCUAGCGAGACUGCCGACGUUAAGUCGGAGGAAGGUGGGGAUGACGUCAAGUCCUCAUGGCCCUUAUGCCCAGGGCUACACACGUGCUACAAUGGCCGGUACAAAGGGUUGCAAACUCGCGAGAGCAAGCUAAUCCCAAAAAACCGGUCUCAGUUCGGAUUGGAGUCUGCAACUCGACUCCAUGAAGUUGGAAUCGCUAGUAAUCGCGGAUCAGCACGCCGCGGUGAAUACGUUCCCGGGCCUUGUACACACCGCCCGU
rnacentral:rRNA from 1 species